GGAUAUUGCGCAAUGGGCGCAAGCCUGACGCAGCAACGCCGCGUGCGGGAGGACGGCCUUCGGGUUGUAAACCGCUUUACGAGGGGAAGAGACAGGACGGUACCCUCGCAAUCAGUCUCGGCUAACUACGUCCCAGCCGCCGCGGUAAAACGUAGGAGGCGAGCGUUAUCCGGCUUUACUGGGUGUAAGGCGCGUGCAGGCGGUCUGGUAAGUCGCGCGUGAAAGCGCCCAGGCUCAACCGGGCGAGGCCGCGCGACACUGCGAGACUGGAGACAGGUAGAGGCGUGUGGAAUUCCGGGUGUAGUGGUGAAAUGCGUAGAGAUCCGGAGGAACACCAGUGGCGAAGGCGACACGCUGGGCCUGGUCUGACGCUCAGACGCGAAAGCAUGGGGAGCGAACGGG
rnacentral:rRNA from 1 species